UAACGUAGGGAGCGGGAGCGUUGUCCGAAGUUACUUGGGGCGGUAAAGCGCGCGUAAGGCGGGCUGUUAAAGUCGGAGAGGUCGAAAGGCUGGGGCCUUAAACCCCCAUGCAGUGCCUCUCAUACUGGCGGUCUUGGAAUUCGGCAGGGAGAAGUGGAAAUGGCUGGUGUAGCGGUGAAAUGCGUAGAUAUCAGUCGGAACACCGGUGGCGAAGGCGGCUUCUUGGGCCGAGAUUGACGCUGGAGGCGCGAAAGCUGGGGGAGCGAACGGG
rnacentral:rRNA from 1 species